CACAUUUCAGAUCCGAAUUCAACAAAAGAGACGCAGAGCGCGCUGCACCGCACCGCCUAAUACCUAUAAACUGACCAACCCGAACUCAGGUUUUACUUUACGGAAAAGCGUCUCCAGAAGUUUUCGUCUGUUCCUCUUCUUCUCUAUCUAACUCAAACCCUAAGGCCCUCUCAUCUCUUUGUUUGGCUUCUUUCCGAUGGAUUCUGUCGAAGCAAGCCCUAAUGAUCCCCAAUCAUUUUCUGCACAAACCCUAAAUUUUUACAACCAAAACCCUCCUACGCCUCCCGAAACUUUAGCCCCCGAUUACCCGCAGCCUCCACCGUCGUCGCAAUCCGUCGACUCCGAUUUUUCCAAAACCCUAGGAUCCGACCCUGAUCAUGGCUACAACAAUAACAACAACGGUGUCCAGGUUGAUCACGAUGCCGAUUCCAAUACUAUAAACAAUAAUUCUUCAUCGAAGCCCGAGAUCCAGAAGCCUCUACUUUCUGAAAAUGGAUUAACUAACACUCAUAGCGGCACCACUGACAGGGAUUACUCUGGCGGAGAAGAGGAAACCACCAGCCGAAGGCGAAGGAGGAGCAGGUGGGACCCGCCUUCCGAUUCGAACAACAACCAGAGCGGGAAUGAUGAGACGGGCGGUGGAACCAAGAAGAGGAAGUCCCGAUGGGCAGAUGAUGAGCCGAAACAGGUAAUUCAGCUCCCUGAUUUCAUGAAAGAUUUCACUGGAGGUAUCCAAUUUGACCCUGAGAUUCAAGCUUUGAAUAGUAGGUUGCUAGAGAUUAGUAGGAUGUUGCAAUCUGGAUUGCCUUUGGAUGAUAGACCUGAGGGGGCUAGGUCUCCCUCUCCUGAACCAAUAUAUGAUAAUAUGGGAAUUAGGAUUAAUACCAGGGAAUAUAGGGCAAGAGAGAGAUUGACAAAAGAGCGACAAGAAAUUAUAUCUCAGAUUCUUAAGAAGAAUCCAGCAUUUAAGCCUCCAGCUGACUAUAGGCCACCAAAGCUUCAGAAGAAGCUUUAUAUACCGAUGAAAGAGUACCCGGGUUACAAUUUUAUCGGGUUAAUUAUUGGGCCAAGAGGGAAUACACAAAAGAGGAUGGAGAAGGAUACGGGUGCAAAGAUUGUAAUUAGGGGUAAAGGUUCGGUGAAGGAAGGUAGGUUGCAGCAGAAGAGGGAUUUGAAGCCUGAUCCUUCAGAGAAUGAGGACUUGCAUGUUUUAGUUGAGGCUGAAACACAAGAAUCACUUGAUGCUGCUGCAGCAAUGGUGGAAAAGCUCUUGCAGCCUGUUGAUGAAGUAUUAAAUGAGCAUAAGAGGCAACAGUUGAGGGAACUUGCUGCCUUGAAUGGAACGAUAAGAGAUGAAGAGUAUUGUAGGUUGUGUGGUGAGCCGGGACACCGUCAGUAUGCUUGUCCUUCCCGUACUUCAACUUUUAAGAGUGAUGUUUUAUGUAAGAUUUGUGGUGAUGGUGGGCAUCCAACAAUCGAUUGUCCAAUGAAGGGAACAACUGGAAAGAAAAUGGAUGAUGAAUAUCAGAAUUUCUUGGCUGAGUUAGGAGGUACUGUUCCAGAUUCCGCAAGCAAGCAAAACUCUUCAACUGUCAGUUCUGGAAGCGAUCCUCCUUGGGCUAGUAACAAUGGAAGUGCUGCAAGUGCACACCCUGGCUUAGGGUCCAAUGCUAUUAAGCCCCCCAAGGAAUAUGAUGAUACUAAUUUGUACAUUGGAUACUUGCCUCCCAAUCUUGAUGAUGAUGCUUUGAUAAGUUUGUUUUCAUCUUAUGGUGAUAUUGUGAUGGCAAAGGUAAUCAAGGACCGGAUUAUUGGACUGAGUAAAGGGUAUGGUUUUGUGAAGUAUGCCAAUGUUGACAUGGCGAACAAUGCUAUUAAGGGAAUGAAUGGUUAUCGUCUAGAGGGGAGAACCAUUGCUGUGAGAGUUGCUGGCAAGCCACAACAGCCUACUGUACCUCCUGGUCCUCCCACAUCAACAAUGUCCACUUACCCUGUUUCUAGUCAGCCAGUCGGUGCCUAUCCAUCACAGCAAUUCACAACUGGAGGUCCCCUUCCUAAUUCUGUUCCUGCUAGUUAUGCAGGGAAUCCAGUUCCAUGGGGACCACCUGUUCCUCCUCCGUAUGCUUCCUAUGCCCCUCCUCCUCCGCCUCCUGGAUCAACCAUGUAUCCUCCUGUUCCAGGUCAGCCAAUGCCUCCUUAUGGCUUGCAAUUUCCCCCACAAAUGCAGACAGUUCCCCCUGGUGUUCCACCUCCACCUGUUACUCCUAGUGAAACACCUCAAAGUUUCCCACCUGGAGUGCAAUCUGAAAACAGUACCUCUGCCCCUGCUGUUCCUACAAAUAUCUAUGGGAACUCAAUGACUGCAAUGCCACCAAACUCGCAAACUGCAUACCAAACAUCUUCAUUAGGCUAUUCUUCCUAUUACAAUGCAGUUCCUCCUCCCCUUACUCCAGCACCUACAUCUUCAGUGGACCAUUCCCAGAGCACUAAUAAUGUGCCUUGGGCACCAAAUCCUCCUUUGCCUCCCACAGUCUCCUCUGCAGAGAAAACAACAUAUGGUGCAGAUGCUGAGUAUGAGAAGUUUAUGGCAGAGAUGAAGUGAUGCAGAUACUUCCAUUGAUAGUUAUAUGUGGAGAGGAUAUUAAAUUUGCCAAGUUUCCUUGCCUCGAAGCUUCCCUGGCAACCAUUUCGUGUUUCGUUUUGUUGAAGGUAAUUAAGGCUGCUGGAGUAUGUGGAUUCUCCCUCAAUUAGAUUUGGCAGGUGAAAGAAACCAUUCAUGUCUUUGUAGCCACCGGGUUUUCAAUAUUGUUUUUCUGGGUAUUGAACUGAGAAAAUUGCUUCUAUGAUUGCAGUUAUUAUGGGAAAUUAUUGUGAGGUGUUUGAUUCAUCAAUCAAGGUUGAGCAUGGUUCAACUUAAAUUUGAUAGGAUAGUUGUAAAUUUAGAGAGAAUUUUGCUUUAGGUCAUGAGAAAGAGUAUGUAUAUGAGUAUUGCGGGGCAUUCAUUCAGUUAUUCAUAAGUGGACUGGUUAGGAACAGAUCAAUCAUUUGAGAUAAUAAUACAUCUUUAAUAGGUUUUGAUUGUUCUAUUUGUCUGCUUAAGAUAGAAAUUGUACACUCUCAACAGCUAUUAGGGCCUUGUAGAAAAUUGAUGUUUGGUAUAAUUUAGUUUGAUACUUCAUAAAGAAUUGACAAGAUGAUUAUAAAGCUUUGUUGGACUGAAGAAUUGGUUACCCAUUCUAUGAUCCACUAUAUAGGUAACCUUAAUAUGUUUAUUUAGACCUUUGCUGCUGGAAACCAUUCUUCUUAAUUUAUAACCACUUGUUUGUCAAGGUUAUUUUGAAUCAAUACAACUACAAAUGGUACAAGUUUCUCCUAUGAUAUUUCUAAGAUCAUUUAUUUAGACUAUUAGAGGGUAGAAUUCAUUUCAUAUUCUUUUUUUAGUUUUAACUCUUUUUGAACAGCAUGCAAGCUCCAUGGCAACUAUUUUUCACAUGUCAAAUCAUGUCAAUUAUUGUGCUACAUAGAUAUGUUUAAACUGUGUUUGGUGGAAGGGCCAGUGUUGCUUUUAAAAUCAUGCAUUGCCUCAGAAUAACAGUUAUAUAUAUUAGAUGUAGUUUUUGUCUACUAGGGCAGAGUAUUGCUUAGCUCCUUCCCCAGCUUUUAAUAAUUUAAAUUUUGUUGUUGAUGCUUUAUUGAUCUUAGUCUCUCUCUCUCUCUCUCUCUCUCUCUUAUUUAUCAAAAAAUUUAGAAUAGGAGCCUGGUUUUCAAGGAUGAAUUUUGGUGUCAUAUUAUGAAAAGAUGAAAAUUAUUGUUUGAUCAUGUUGCUUUUUUGAAGAAUUUGCCCGUGAUAAAAAUUAUUGAACAGGUAGCUGUCAUUUCAGGUUUUAUUGUGAAUUUCGAAACAGCUCAUUUUGGUGUGUUUAUAUCUGUGCCUAAACUGAUUGACCACUUUGGCUUUCUUCUUUUGCUUGUUUGUUUUGCGCUUUGGCAUAUGUAAGGCUUGUAGUACUUUCAAACAAAGAUUGAUCUGCAUAUUUUUCCCAAGUCUUUAUCUAAUGCUGAAACAACCAUACCAUGGCUUUCUCUUGUCAUGUGUUUCUCAUUCUGUAAUCCAAAGUUAAAUGCUGAGGCAGAAUCAGCCAGUUAGUGGCUUUCUUUUUCAUAAUUUUCUUUUUCAACUUUAUCUGACCUUUUAUGUACAAGUUGGUCGGGGCAUUCCUCAUUUGAGAUUAUAAGAUAUUUUUGCGAGGUGCAACAGCCACUGGCCUCCUAGAUAGAAUGGCCUUGCUCUCAUGUUGUGAGUGAAGGAAUGAGUGAGAAACGCUUCUUCCAUUGGGAGAGGGGUUUGAACUCAAAGCAUAAUAUAGUCUUUUGCUGAUUGGAUGGUUGUUAUUUGAUCAUAGUUUUGUUCAAUGGUAAAAAAAAAAACGUUUUGUGUGUGACAUUUUAUGAAAAGUUUACUA